rnacentral:rRNA from 1 species
AACGAACGCUGGCGGCAUGCCUAACACAUGCAAGUCGAACGAGACCUUCGGGUCUAGUGGCGCACGGGUGCGUAACGCGUGGGAACCUGCCCUUAGGUUCGGAAUAACUCCCCGAAAGGGGUGCUAAUACCGGAUAAUGUCUUCGGACCAAAGAUUUAUCGCCUUUGGAUGGGCCCGCGUUGGAUUAGCUAGUUGGUAGGGUAAAAGCCUACCAAGGCGACGAUCCAUAGCUGGUCUGAGAGGAUGAUCAGCCACACUGGGACUGAGACACGUCCCAAACUCCUACGGGAGGCAGCAGUGGGGAAUAUUGGACAAGGGGCGAAAGCCUGAUCAAGCAAUGCCGCGUGAGUGAUGAAGGCCUUAGGGUUGUAAAUCUCUUUUACCCGGGAUGAUAAUGACAGUACCGGGAGAAUAAGCUCCGGCUAACUCCGUG